rnacentral:lncRNA from 1 species
AAAAAGUUUACUUCCAGUAUUGUUUGAUAGUUUACUUGACACUGAUUCCAAAAAUAUAUGGUUCCAUAUACUUUUACAUUGAUUUAGUACAAAAAAUAGCUACUUCCGGUUUACAAAAGGUCACUUCCGGUUGUGUUUUUUAAGGUCACAUUGCUUACAACUGAAUGCAAAAAGUCCCAUGGCUUUAUCAUGUGUACAUAUGAGGUAAAAGCAAAGGUCAAAAUCUAGAACGUUUAAUUAGCAUAUGACCUUGAGCUCAAUUUCAAGGUCAUAAACCAAGGACCUCAAAUCAAAAGACUCUAGUCCUCUACUGUAUAUUGUUAAUGAGUUAUAUUACCAUACGUAUGAUAUUAGAUAUAAAAAGGGGGAAAACUCGCGUCAAAUGUCUACGUACCCUUUUCGACUAAAAUUAAUGUGUUACGACAUGUCGUAACUAACAAUUGUGUGAAAAUAUUUUGUUGAUAUCUUAUAUGAUUUCUGAAAAUAAGAGAUAACAAGCCAAAAUCAAAAUUUUAAUCAUGACCUUGAUCUUUGACCUUGACCUCAUUUUCAUUUUUUAGGACCAAGGACCUCAAAUCAAAAGACCCUAGGCCUCUACCACUUAUGGUUUUCCAGUUAAAAAUGCAUAUCACUUAUAUCAAAUAUAAAAGGGGAAAUAACUCUCAUAUGGAGUCUCCGGAUAGAUUCGGUCAAAAUUAAUCAAAUCAUCCUGAGGAUAUAACGAGCAAUUUGGUAAAAUAAAUUUGUCGGUUUCUUAUACCAUUGCGAAGAUUAAGCGAUAACAAGAAAAACAGUGUACGGGGAGAUAACUCUUAUAUAGGAAAGUAUUUGGUUUCACAGGGUCAGGUUCAAAAGCGCAUAAACUGUUCGAUAUCAUAUUCCAAAUAUCUAAGCGACAUCUUGCGAAACAAAAAAACAGCGAAGGAAAAAAAUUUGGCGGAAGAAAAAAAAAAAUAAUAAUAAUCAGAAGAAAAGCAAUAGGUCUUUCCACGGAAAAGUGGAAAGACCUAAUUAAACUGUCAAUUGUUCUUGAACAAUUGAGAGGUCUUUCCUUUUGUAAUGUAAAAUACAUGUUCAAAUAGACGUAGAAUGUAUUGAAAAGCUUUAUUACACACUAAAAACCCUUUCAAUAAGGUCAAAAACACAUAAUCCGCUAUUUGGGACAUGACCUUGACCUUUGACCUGUUGACCUUUAUCAAGGUCAAUAGUCCACAAUGUCCUGAACAUUUUGCACUAUUUACUAUUUCUGUAAGUAUAAUAGUUUUUGAGAUAUCCAAUAAAAAGUGAAAGGUCAAAGGUCAAGGUCAACCUUAAAAAGCUUUAAAACAC